GACGAACGCUGCCGGCGUGCUUAACACAUGCAAGUCGAACGGAAAGGCCCUGCUUUUGUGGGGUGCUCGAGUGGCGAACGGGUGAGUAACACGUGAGUAACCUGCCCUUGACUUUGGGAUAACUUCAGGAAACUGGGGCUAAUACCGGAUAGGAGCUCCUGCUGCAUGGUGGGGGUUGGAAAGUUUCGGCGGUUAGGGAUGGACUCGCGGCUUAUCAGCUUGUUGGUGGGGUAGUGGCUUACCAAGGCUUUGACGGGUAGCCGGCCUGAGAGGGUGACCGGCCACAUUGGGACUGAGAUACGGCCCAGACUCCUACGGGAGGCAGCAGUGGGGAAUAUUGCACAAUGGGCGGAAGCCUGAUGCAGCAACGCCGCGUGCGGGAUGACGGCCUUCGGGUUGUAAACCGCUUUCGCCUGUGACGAAGCGUGAGUGACGGUAAUGGGUAAAGAAGCACCGGCUAACUACGUG
rnacentral:rRNA from 1 species